rnacentral:rRNA from 1 species
AGAGUUUGAUCCUGGCUCAGGACGAACGCUGGCGGCGUGCUUAACACAUGCAAGUCACGGGGGCUCGCAAGGGCAACCGGCGAACGGGUGCGUAACACGUGAGCAAUCUGCCGAUUUGAGGGGGAUAGCCGGCCCAACGGCCGGGUAAUACCGCAUACGCUUCUUGGGGGGAGUCCCCUGGGAAGGAAACCUCCGGGGCAAAUCGAGGAGCUCGCGGCCUAUCAGCUAGUUGGCGGGGUAACGGCCCACCAAGGCGACGACGGGUAGCUGGUCUGAGAGGAUGGCCAGCCACAUUGGGACUGAGAGACGGCCCAGACUCCUACGGGAGGCAGCAGUGGGGAAUCUUGCGCAAUGGCCGAAAGGCUGACGCAGCGACGCCGCAUGUGGGAUGAAGCAUUUCGGUGUGUAAACCACUGUUGCCCGGGACGAACAGCUUCUUUCGAGGAGCCUGACGGUACCGGGUGAGGAAGCACCGGCUAACUCCGUGCCAGCAGCCGCGGUAAUACGGACGGUGCGAGCGUUGUCCGGAAUCACUGGGCGUAAAGGGCGCGUAGGCUGCGCGAGUAGUCAACGGUGAAAGCCCGGGGCUCAACCCCGGGUCGGCCGUCGAUACUCUCGUGCUUGAGCACUGUACAGGCAGGUGGAAUUCCGGGUGUAGCGGUGGAAUGCGUACAGAUCCUGAAGAACACCGGUGGCCAAAGCGGCCUGCUACGCAGUAGCUGACGCUGAGGCGCGACAGCGUGAGGAGCAAACGGGAUUAGAUACCCUGGUAAUCCA